GCUGCCAUUCACACCCGCUGCCGGUGCCCAGUGCUGGCCCUGAUUGCUUGGCGCCGUCAGUGGGUGUGAGUGGUGGCUG
rnacentral:pre_miRNA from 1 species